rnacentral:rRNA from 1 species
AUAGUAGACCCGAAACCGUAGUGAUCUAUCCAUGGCCAGGUUGAAGCACAGGUAAAAUUGUGUGGAGGACCGAACUCGUGAGCGUUGAAAAGCUUUGGGAUGAGUUGUGGAUAGGGGUGAAAUGCCAAUCGAACACGGAGAUAGCUGGUUCUCCCCGAAAUAGCUUUAGGGCUAGCCUCGAGGUUGAGAGUAUAGGCGGUAGAGCACUGAUCGGGCUAGGGGCCAUACCGGUUACCGAACCUAGUCAAACUACGAAUGGCUAUACUUAUACUCGGGAGUCAGACAGUGAAUGAUAAGGUCCAUUGUCAAGAGGGAAACAGCCCAGAACACCGACUAAGGUCCCAAAUGUUACACUAAGUGGCGAAGGAUGUGGAAUUUCCAAAACAACCAGGAUGUUGGCUUAGAAGCAGCCACCAUUUAAAGAGUGCGUAAUAGCUCACUGGUCGAGAGACUCUGCGCCGAAAAUGUCCGGGGCUAAAGUGUAAAACCGAAGUCGUGUCAUAUGCAGCAAUGUAUAUGGGUAGGGGAGCGUUCUCAUUGGGUUGAAGCAGUACCGUAAGGAGUUGUGGACUGAUGAGAAGUGAGAAUGUCGGUAUGAGUAGCGAAAAGAAUGGUGAGAAUCCAUUCCACCGAAAGCCUAAGGGUUCCUGAGCAACGAUCGUCGUCUCAGGGUAAGUCGGGACCUAAGCCGAGGCGGAAAAGCGUAGGCGAUGGACAACAGGUUGAAAUUCCUGUACCGGUGUGAAUCGUUUGAUCGAUGGAGUGACACAGUAAGGUAGGUCAGCACGCGAUUGGAAGUGCGUGUUUAAGCAUGUAGGUUGAGCUAUAGGCAAAUCCGUAGCUCUAAAAGCUGAGAUGUGAUGACGAGUUACUAGCAAUAGUAACGAAGUGAUUGAUCCUACACUGUCGAGAAAAGCUUCUAGGUAGAGACACAUCGCCCGUACCAAAACCGACACAGGUAGGCGGGGAGAGAAUCCUAAGGUGCGCGGGAAAACCCUCGUUAAGGAACUCGGCAAAAUGCCUCCGUAACUUCGGGAAAAGGAGGACUCAUGUAGUGUGAAGAGCAGCAACGCUUGGAGCAUGAAUGAGUGGCACAAGAGAGGCGCAAGCGACUGUUUACCACAAACACAGGUGCCUGCUAAAGCGAAAGCUGAUGUAUAGGUGCUGACACCUGCCCGGUGCUGGAAGGUUAAGAGGAGGGGUUAGACUUCGGUCGAAGCUCUGAAUUGAAGCCCCAGUAAACGGCGGCCGUAACUAUAACGGUCCUAAGGUAGCGAAAUUCCUUGUCGGGUAAGUUCCGACCCGCACGAAAGGUGUAACGACUUGCGCACUGUCUCAACGAGGGACCCGGUGAAAUUGAAGUACCUGUGAAGAUGCAGGUUACCCGCGACUGGACAGAAAGACCCCAUGGAGCUUUACUGCAACCUAAGAUUGAACUUAGUUAAUGAAUGUACAGGAUAGGUGGGAGAC